GCCAACUGCAACUCCACCUUCCCUGAUAUCACAUGAAGUGCUAGAUAACAAGCACUUAUCAGGCUACUGCAGUUCCUACCCAAGUGAACAUAUGAAACCACUCUGUAUUAAUGCAUGAUGGCCUGUACCACAAGUUCUUCUGAGAUCAGCAAUCAUCUAUGAGUAAUGUUUUGUUAUAUCACUUUUAAAAAAUAAUUAAAACAAACUUUGAAGCUA